CUGUCCAGUGAUAAAUAUUUUAUUUAACGGCUGCAGUAUAAAUAACUGUACAAAGGUAGCAUAAUAAAUAGGUUUUUAAUUAAAAUCUAGAAUGAAAGAUUAAAUGAAAUAUAAACUGUCUCAAAAAAAUCAGUUAAAAUUAUUAUUUAAGUAAAAAAACUUAAAUAAAAAUAAAAGACGACAAGACCCUAUAGAAUUUUAUUAUUUAAUAUAUCAAAUUUAAUUAAUUAAAAUUAAUGAAAAUUAUAAAUAAUUUAUUUGGGGUAAAUUAAAAAUUCAAAAAAUUUUUUUUUAAAAAUACAUAAAUUCAUGAAACCUUUUUCCUAAAUUUUAUUAGAUUAAAAAACCAAAUUACCUUAGGGAUAACAGCAUAAUUUUUUUUGAAAGUUCUCAUUUAUAAAAAAGAUUAUGACCUCGAUGUUGAAUUAAGAUAAAACUAUAACGAAACAAUUAAUAAAUUUAAGUCUGUUCGACU
rnacentral:rRNA from 1 species